AACAUCUAAGUACCUGGAGGAAGAGAAAGAAAAAUCGAUUUCCUGAGUAGCGGCGAGCGAAACGGAAAGAGCCCAAACCAAGAAGCUUGCUUCUUGGGGUUGUAGGACACUCUAUACGGAGUUACAAAAGAAAGUUAUAAAUGAAGCGGUCUGGAAAGGCCCGCCAAAGACGGUAACAGCCCGGUAGUUGAAAUGGCUUUCCCUCCAGAGUGGAUCCUGAGUACGGCGGAACACGUGAAAUUCCGUCGGAAUCCGGGAGGACCAUCUCCCAAGGCUAAAUACUCCCUAGUGACCGAUAGUGAACCAGUACCGUGAGGGAAAGGUGAAAAGCACCCCGGAAGGGGAGUGAAACAGUUCCUGAAACCGUGUGCCUACAAGUAGUUAGAGCCCGUUAAUGGGUGAUAGCGUGCCUUUUGUAGAAUGAACCGGCGAGUUACGAUUUGUUGCAAGGUUAAGCGGAAAAAGCGGAGCCGUAGCGAAAGCGAGUCUGAAUAGGGCGCAUAAGUAACAGGUCGUAGACCCGAAACCAGGUGAUCUACCCAUGUCCAGGAUGAAGGUAAGGUAAUACUUACUGGAGGUCCGAACCCACGCACGUUGAAAAGUGCGGGGAUGAGGUGUGGGUAGCGGAGAAAUUCCAAUCGAACUUGGAGAUAGCUGGUUCUCUCCGAAAUAGCUUUAGGGCUAGCCUCGAGGUAAAGAGUCAUGGAGGUAGAGCACUGUUUGGACUAGGGGCCCUUCUCGGGUUACCGAAUUCAGAUAAACUCCGAAUGCCAUGUACUUAUACUCGGGAGUCAGACUGCGAGUGAUAAGAUCCGUAGUCGAAAGGGAAACAGCCCAGACCACCAGUUAAGGUCCCCAAAUAUAUGUUAAGUGGAAAAGGAUGUGGGGUUGCUUAGACAACCAGGAUGUUGGCUUAGAAGCAGCCACCAUUGAAAGAGUGCGUAAUAGCUCACUGGUCGAGUGACCCCGCGCCGAAAAUGUACCGGGGCUAAACAUAUUACCGAAACUGUGGAUGAACCUCUUCGGAGGUUCGUGGUAGGAGAGCGUUCUAAGGGCGGUGAAGUCAGACCGGAAGGACUGGUGGAGCGCUUAGAAGUGAGAAUGCCGGUAUGAGUAGCGAAAGAAGGGUGAGAAUCCCUUCCACCGAAUAUCUAAGGUUUCCUGAGGAAGGCUCGUCCGCUCAGGGUUAGUCGGGACCUAAGCCGAGGCCGAUAGGCGUAGGCGAUGGACAACAGGUAGAGAUUCCUGUACCAGUGCUAAUUGUUUAACCGAUGGGGUGACACAGAAGGAUAGGGAAUCGCACGAAUGGAAAUGUGCGUCCAAGCAGUGAGUGUGAGAAGUAGGCAAAUCCGCUUCUCGCGAAGCAUGAGCUGUGAUGGGGAAGGAAAUUAAGUACGGAAGUUCCUGAUUUCACGCUGUCAAGAAAAGCCUCUAGGAAGAGUAGUACUGCCCGUACCGCAAACCGACACAGGUAGAUGAGGAGAGAAUCCUAAGGUGAGCGAGAGAACUCUCGUUAAGGAACUCGGCAAAAUGACCCCGUAACUUCGGGAGAAGGGGUGCUCUAUUAGGGUGCAAGCCCGAGAGAGCCGCAGUGAAUAGGCCCAGGCGACUGUUUAGCAAAAACACAGGUCUCUGCAAAACCGUAAGGUGACGUAUAGGGGCUGACGCCUGCCCGGUGCUGGAAGGUUAAGAGGAGUGCUUAGCUUCGGCGAAGGUACGAAUUGAAGCCCCAGUAAACGGCGGCCGUAACUAUAACGGUCCUAAGGUAGCGAAAUUCCUUGUCGGGUAAGUUCCGACCCGCACGAAAGGCGCAACGAUCUGGGCACUGUCUCAACGAGAGACUCGGUGAAAUUAUAGUACCUGUGAAGAUGCAGGUUACCCGCGACAGGACGGAAAGACCCCGUGGAGCUUUACUGCAACCUGAUAUGGAAUGUUUGUACCGCUUGUACAGGAUAGGUAGGAGCCGAAGAGACGUGUGCGCUAGCAUACGAGGAGGCAAUGGUGGGAUACUACCCUGGCUGUAUGACCAUUCUAACCCGCCACGCUUAGCGCGUGGGGAGACAGUGUCAGGUGGGCAGUUUGACUGGGGCGGUCGCCUCCUAAAGAGU
rnacentral:rRNA from 1 species